AAUUUAAUAAAUAGGAAAGUUAUUCUUGCCAUGUUUUCUGAUCUGUCUUACCCUUCUUCCCCAAGACACAUCAUGUAAGAUAAAAAUUCAAUUCGUAUUAAAAUCGAAAGAGCACAGCAAAGAUGUUGGGGCAGUAUCAAGAAGAUUAAAUAAGUUGCUUUUUGCAGUUGAUGGCAUUUGGAGCUCUUAUUCUUUCAGUACUUUCAUUGUAGAUCCAGGAAACAGAUUAAAUCUUGCAGGAGCUGAUAUUCCUGGAAGAUCCUGGAUAUUCCCAUGCACAGGAGAAGGAUGUUGCAAGCAUUCAAACUGUUGCUGAAUUUGGCAGUGCUCUGGAUCGUGCAGUGCAACAAUUUUUUUUAACCUGUUCUGCAUCUGUCAUAGCAAAACCCAAACUUAAUUGUAGUCUUCACUUGUUUGUAGGAACAGAUGUGCUCCUUUUCAGCUGUUUUGGUGUCUGCUUUGGCUUUGUCUAAAGUGCAUGUAGCCAAGGGCAGUAGCUCCUUAUGGGAACCAGCACACCCAAAUGCAAAAUGUGGGGAAUAAGAGAAAGAAGUGUCAAGCAUGACAGGACAGUCAACUUUUUAUCUGACUGUCAGUUGGCUUUGCUAAACAGUUGGGGUUGUACAACCCAGAAGCGGUACAGACAAGAAUGAUGUUGUGGCUGAAACAUUUUGGCUCACAGCUGGGGAUCAGUCCUUGCUUGCAAGGUUCUUGCACUGGGUUGAUUUCACUUAAAUAGCAUCAGACAUCUGUGUGGUGUGGGAAGUCCUUGCAGUGUGAGAGUAUUUGAUUUGGAUGACAGUGAGGAUGUGAUACUUCGGUUUUUAUUUCUAAAGUGACUUUUCAAGUAGGUUAGAGUAUACAGUGAAUUUUUUGUUUGCAUUUAGAACUCAAAUCAACCCUUAAAAGUUGCUGUCAGUGCAUACUGCUUUGUCUAGGGCAAAAUAGUUAUGCUGCCUUCAUUUGCAGAAGUGCUUUGGUAGUGGUUUUAAUUACAGUAAGCAAAAACUUGAGAGGUUUUAGAAAAAGACCUAGCUUGGAUCACAGUCUCUCUUGCUCUUUGCAUAGAAGGUUCUUAGAGAUGCUUAAGAACUUAGGACUUCUAGACAGGCAGUUUCUGCAUUUCUGGUGAGAGUUUUCUAAUACAUCUGCUGCUCUUGUUGGGUAGUUGCAAUCUGAUUUUUAGUUUUCCUGUAUGUUUUAGUGAGAACAGUGUUGUCUCAUUAAAAUCUUCCUUUCCUCUUUUUGAUCUGAAACUGAACUCAAUUUUGUGCCAAUUGAAUGUUUCGGGAUAGGACUGGCGGAAGGACAGGGUAUUCUUUCAGCAGCCCAAUCACUUCAAACCUGCACCCUCUCCCUGUGCUUUGUGAGCCUGUGUUCUGAAGUGGAAGGGAAGACUUGUCACAAGAAUCACCAGAUGCAUCUGCAGAAUGGAAAUAGUCUGUUUACCUGAGCAGGUUGUACCAGAGGCUCUUCAUCCUUUGCCUACCAUGACAGCCAUUACAUAUAAGAAAGAACUUCAUUUUUAGAAGUGUAGUCUUGAUACUUAAAAUUAUGGUCUCAGUAACAGUAUUGGUUUUAUAACAGCUUACAAUCUUUUUUUGUCUCUUCUGUUAGCUGUUGUGGCAGUAAACAAUCAAUCUCUCCCUCCCCGCUCCCAGGGAAGAACUUGUUUUAGUACCUCUUCCCUUGCUCACAUCCAUCUCUGUUUUCCAGAUAUCACCAACUCAUUCUCUCAUGAUAUGAUGGAAGUAACCAGUAAAACUCAAAGUAAUUGUCCUCAAAUUCAAUAUAUGCACUUGGAGCUUGCUGCAGCUAUUCCAGAGGAUCCUUUGUGCAGUUCUUUCCAGCUCUGUUAAUCAAAUGGAUAACAGGUUCUCCAGAUCUCCACAUUCCUGACAGCUCGUCCUUAGAGCUUGCAUAGAUUGGGGUACAGGAGCAGAUGGGAGUGUGGAGGGCUGUGGCAAACUGAGCUGUGCCAUUUUUACCUGGGCUGUCUGCUAUGACCUUGUGUCUGGCAAUGGCAGGUUUCAGUAGUCUGUGAAGUCCUCGGGCAGAGCAUUGCCUUGAUAAGAGGUGGAUUUUUGUGGUUCAGAAAGACGUCCAUCAGUAAAAAAGUUUUCAUAUCUAACAAUGUAUUUCCCUACUUUUGCUCUCCUCACUUUGUCCUUUUCAAAUGAUUCUUCUGUGCCAUGUGCUUGGCAGGGGAUUGGAAAGAAGAAGCGAGAGAAACUGAUACAAAUUGAUGCUGUUCAAGUUUUCUGAGUGAUGUGAUAGUGGAUUUGAAGGGGAAAAAUCCUCUAUCGAUGGUGUAUGUGGUGUAGUGAUACAGUGCUUGAUGGUCUGGUAAAUCUCGAAGAACUGUGUCAGCCUGAUUCCUUGAGGGCAGACAGAUGCAACUGGCCCUACAGCUGUUAUCUGGUUGAGUAACUAAGUGGAUGGAGGAUAUUUAGCUGGCUGCAGCUGCAGGAUUUUAGAUCUGUAGCUGCUAUUAGAGCACAGCUCACUGAGGCCAAAUAAUUACUGUAUAAUUUAGCGUCAGUGCAAACAACAUAAGCUUAUGCAUUUGCUUCCCUAUAGAAGUGCUUUGUCCUCUAAAUCUGUUCCUGCGCGUUCCUCAAAGUCAUCCUGCAGCUUUCAUGUCCCCUUGUGCAUCUUAAAUUAGAUCAAUAACUUCCUAGGCUGGCUCUGGUGGAGUGGCUUGCUCCACAGAGCUGCUUUCUGAAGCUGAAAGCAAUGCAAUCCUCAGGAAAUCCUGCUGAGUAAGGAGUGCUUCGGUUAAUGUGUAAUCAAGUCAUGAUAAGACCAGCUAAUAAAGAUAAGGUUCUUAACAAGCAGCAUGGGACAAUGAGCAGGGAAAUGGAGAAUGGCAAACAAUGUGAUUAAUGAUGACCCCUAGCUGCACUGCUCCCAGUGAAACCAAACCCACAAGCCACCAACCCUGAAGGGGAUGUGUGGGCAUGAUGCUGAGGGGGAAGGAAAGUGGGAGGAAUCCAGGGACGAGUAGCAGGAGAGUAACUGUACCUGUGUAACUGCAAGGGUAACACCUCUGGCUGCAGGCAGGGUGUCUUAAAACAUAGCUGGAGGGAAUUCAAUUGGUCUUUUUUAUUUUAAAAAGUGGAAUUGGAGUUAUUCUCUCUAACUCAUAAGGGGAGCCUCUGUAGAACGAACAGGAAGCACACAGACUUAGGAGGAGCACCCUGCAGUGGAAAUGCCCAUGGGCAUGGAGCAGCAGCCGCUGGGCAGGAUAUUCUUUGUAUUUGAUGAUCUUUAACUCAGUGCUGUUGCCACCACUGAGAUCACUCAUGUUGAAUUUGUACCUUAUUGUAUUGCUCCCAUUGUUUUGACUUAAACUAAAUUCGCCAGUGGGCCUUAUCAGUAGGGCUGACGCUCCCACUUCACUACCUUUCUUGUCUAGAAAGAUGCACUCUUUUCCCCUAAGUAAACAUGAAGAUGCAAGCUUGCUUACACUGAGAGGCUCCUCACUAUGCAUGGAGCAGUGGUAAACUGCACACUGCCCAAAUGAGGGCAGUUCUGUGGACAUGCAUUUAUUUCUGACUAUGCCACUGUGUGUCAGACUUCAGCUUUGCUAUGUAUGUGCUAACACUGACUGGAACUGCAACCCCAACAGAGAGCUGAUGAACACAGGUGAAAUAGGAAAAGGUUGGAAGGAAGAAGAACGUUGAUCUAAUCUCUUUUAAUAGCAGCAGCAGAUAAGAUGUGGGCAUAAUUUUUGCCAUGAGCAUUGGAUUUGCAACCUGAGCAGUGAUGGUUUUAAGAAGCUGGUAGUCUGGAGCACAUUGAAACAUUAAUCUAGUGUUGAACAAGCAUAAUUGUCAAUCAAGAAACUGCUGCUUGCAUACGGUGAUUCAGGAAGAACAUCACCCCAGAAAACUGCUGAUCUUGUCCGAGAGUUUGUUCCUUGGCUUGUUCAGGCUCUGAUGGCUGUUGUUCGGGAGCAGCAAAUUAACAGCAGUUAUGCAAGGCAUGGAAGUAGGGCAGUUCUAGCUAGCAUUGAGAAAUAGAUGGUGAAAGCCUAAUAAGCUCUGAAAAGCUUUUAUAUUUAAUCUUACGCUUGUAACAGCUUUAAUAAUUUCUUUUAAAAAAUGGAGAUGAACUCGGAACGUGAGUGUGCAGGUUGCUGGGGAGACAUCAGCUUUGGCUCCGCUGCGUUUGUGGAACCAGCAGGAGUUGCUGCCACAAGUCUUAAUGUGUCAGCAGGAGCUGUUGAUGUUAAAAAUCAUCCCGUGUCUGUAUCCUUCAACUCUUUUGCAACGGUUUAGGUAAGUUGGCAGCUUUUGUCAAAAAAUGGAGAGGAAGAGAGCGAGAAGUUACAGUUCUGGCACACAGCGGCUGCAGAUGGCCAUAAGCAGUGGCUCGGGGAGAGGUGGGAAUCGCUCUUUUUCAAAGGGGUGUCAACACCGCCGUGAAAAUUCAAACACAGUGCGAUUUCUGCUUGCUGAAGGUCAGUGCGGCAGCAUCUGCAGUUAUCCUGAGUCGGUGGGUGGUGCUUCUGCUGAGUGAGACCAUUUCUCUCCUGCCAAGGGACACCUGGAAGUUAUUUGUGAGCAGAGGCGGGGAAAGCUUCAGCAACUUGUGUGAACUCAGCUCCCAAACCACUUGUGUAUAUACAUAUAUACAUAUAUAUAUA